AUGACUGGAAACUGGCUUCACU
rnacentral:misc_RNA from 1 species